AUGGCCUCGUGGUGACCCCGGGGGCCAACAUUACUCUCUGGUGCUCAAGGCCCAAGCUGUCUUCCCUUGGAGAGGUGACUUUCACUCUGUGGAAGACUGGGACCCUGUGGCUCUUACAGCAGCAGGCCUCAGCAGAUCUCUGGACUAGCUUCCUGCUCCUAUCUGUGAGACCUGAGGACACUGGGAGCUACAGCUGUACCUACAGGGGAAGGACAAUGUUUACUAUAGGAUCAAAGACCAGUGAUGCCCUGGAGUUGGUGGUGCCAGAUGUACUCCCCAAGCCUUCCAUCUCAGCCUUGCCUGGCCCAGAGGUGGCCUCAGGAGCCAAUGUGACCCUCCUCUGCUGGGGACCCUCAUGGACUACUAGGAUUGUUCUGUACAAGAAAGGACAUGAAAACAUCUUGCAGAGCAUGGAUACCACUCAAGAUGGAGCCAAGUUCUUCCUGACUCAUGUGACUCCCAAGGAUUCUGGAAACUACACCUGUGGGUACCAGCUUCUCACCAAUGGAAGUCUCUGGACACAACACAGUGACCCCCUGCAUCUGAGAGUGACAGGUUCAGAGUCCAGUAACACCUUCAUUAUCACCCUCAGCUGUGUUCCCUUCCUUCUCUGCCUUCUCUUGCUGGCAAUGCUCUGCAG
rnacentral:lncRNA from 1 species